rnacentral:tRNA from 1 species
GCAGUCGUGACCGAGUGGUUAAAGGAAUACUAGAAAUCCACUGGGGUCUCCCCGCACAGGUUCGAAUCCUGUCGACUGCC